UAUAUACUCUAUUCAUCAGAUCUUCGUCAUGAGUUAUCCCAUCCUCUCUCAAACCCUAACUACAACCUCUCCAUCUUCUCUGAAACCCUAACUAGGCUCCUAUACGGUCGUCUUCAAUAAUCUUCGUAUGUUCUUCGCAUCAUUCUCAACGACUGGAAUCGGUACCUCUGGCCACUCAAUCGACGACCAUUGAGAUCCAAAACCCUAAGUUUUUCGUUGACCAAAGUGGUUGAAAAAUCGGAAGAACAACCAUAAAAAUCGAAGAAGGUUAGACGCACAUCAGACACACAUCAAGGAUGCAGCGGAUCGCUAUGGAUGUCAAUUGGGAUUUUUAGGGAAGUAUUAGUAUAUUGAUGCUAUGCUAGAAGGAGACCGUGUGAUUGUGGACAUAGAUUCACAUCAGAGUUUGAAAUUGCAAGAUCCACAAAAAGCUAUAGAGCCGUUCUUUAAAUGCUUCCUCAUAUAACUGUGAUAUGACCCGAUCGUCGACAGAAUAUCCUCAACAUAGUUUCUGAUGCUGCAAAAUAGAGCUUAAAGAAGAAAGGAAUGCCUCUGUCCCCUUGGUGAAGAGCCGAUUAUGUUAAAGCUAAAUGGCUCUCUCCUUGCAAUCGAAUGGUCAACAAUCCGACUAAUGAUAAGAAUAACCAAUCUUUUACUGAAAUUGCAAGCAAAUCUAACCAGAUUCCAGACGCGAAAGACCUGAUUUUGAUGGAAUGCUGGGUUGACUAAUCAGUCUUAUUCUUCUGGAUUAAUUGAUAUAAAUUUGGUGGCAGAUAUGAUGGAUCCAUCUUUGCCUCCAAAUCCUAAAAAAGCUCUUCUUUAUCGACCAUCUGUAACACACCUAUUAUCCGUUAUGGCUAUAAUGUGUGACGGGCUUCCUCCCGAUGGUGUUAUGCUUAUAUACAUAGCAGCCUCAGGGAAUUCUGGUCAAAGUCAAACCAGUAUUACACAGAGGCAAAAAAUAUCAAAGUGCAAGGACAUCUAAUGUUAUUGAAACUAUAUGGCCCUUUUUUAUCCGCAGUACUAAAUAGCUUAAAAGAAAGUUUUGAUCAAGCCUUACAAAGGGACGACGUGAAGGCCAUAGUUGUUACAGGCGCAAAAGGCAAAUUUUCUGGUGGUUUUGACCUCAAUGUAUUAGGCGGACUGCGGGAAGGAAAAGCCAUGACAACGGGACUGGAAGAAAAACAUGGUUGUGAAUCGGUUCAUAUUCUGUCGGAUACCAUGGAAAUGCCCAACGGUUGAAUGACUUGGGUGAAGAAUCAACCAGACUUCCUAUAUAUUGUCUACUUCACAACCACAAUACUUGACUUCAUAAUUUUUUUUUAUUUCAUCAUUUAUUUACUUAACAGGAGUUGUAUUUAAAAGUGUAGAUUGAAGAUUCUUUUUCAUUAUAGUUUUACAAGUGAAGUUAUGUUUUUAACAUGUUCCAAAGUUUUAUAAAGCCCAAGUAGUCACGCAUAGUUUUCAAAAGUAAACUAAAUGUAUAGUGUAGUGGCUAAAUGUAUAACAUCGUGUUCUUUAUAACACCCCCUUAU